GCAAAUUUGACUGACCCCAUAGUUUAUUUCUUUCUUUCUUUCAAUCCAAAGUCCAAACCACCGCCUCGCCUGUAAAGGAUGAGUGCUCUGAACCGAACCUUGAGCUCAUCAAUGUCGUUGAAACUCAACACCCUCACCCCUUUCCCAAUUUUCGCGUUACCAAAUUCGAAACCAAGCGAGAUUCGAUUCUCCAACAGAUGGGGGCAGCGAAAAGUCGAACGAUCUCUCUCUCACUCUCUCGCUCUCUUGGAUCAUCAAAGCUGCACAAGAAGAAGGGAUCAAAUUCAUUGCGGAGGAGGAGGUCGGUAGUCUAUGGAUUCAAAUUUAUUUGUGAUUUUUUCCGUCGUUGUUGUCCCUAGAUUAGAUUUAAAAUGGUGGUUGUGUUUGGUUAGGUGAUCAUCAUCAUGUGGGAGUGUGGUGGGACCUGAACACCUGUCCUCUUCCGGCUGGUGUAGACCCUCGUUGUGUCCGUCCGUGUAUAGAAUCUGCGUUGGAAAAGCUGUUUGGUCGUCGUUCUGCAGUCAGCAUCUAUAUCUAUGCCAUAGGAAACCUAGAAUUCAUCUCUAGUGACCUCUUGCAAAACAUCUCUUCCUCCGGAAUCAUUCUUACUCAUGCCCCCUGCGGUAAAGUCAAUCAAAUCAAUCCUAAUCGAUUUGUUUUGUUUAGUCUAAUUAAUUAGAGAGAGUUAGUAGUCUCAUGAUCUGAUCUGGCCUCCUUCUCUACUCUUAGGUAUGCACGACUUACAUGAUUUUCUUGUCGACUGGUCUGAGGAUGAGCUUAAAAACCCACAUCCUCCUGGUUACGUAAUGAUCAUCUCGAGUGAUUAUAAACUGCUUUACCCUGAGCGUUUUCGGCUUUUUCGAUUCACUACUUUUGUUGCAUAUCCAAAAGGUGUUCGCCUACUUGCCCAUCUUACCCAGCUAAAAUGUCUUGGCCAAGAGUUUGACGAAGUGUUUGCCAAAGAGUUUGUCUGGGAAACCUUAUUGAGUGAUAAUUUGGAUGAAACUUUAUUAUUGAGUGACAACAACACAUGUGAUGAGAAACCUCUCUGCAUUUGCAACAUAUGCUCUUAUGAUUACGAAGUAUGUGACGAAUUCAUCACUCAUCUCAAGUGUGAAGAGCACAUAAACCAGGUAAUUAAGCAAGCAGCAUGCAUCCUCAGCUUUUUUUUUUUAUCAUUUUUUUUCAUGUAUCUGUGUGUGUGUGCAGUGGUCUGAAAUUGUGCACGACCGCAAGCUUAAAUAUUUUUGCCAAGUUUGCAAUUAUCCCGCCUAUAGCCACUAUAACCUCUUUCUCCAUAACCAAAGUGAAGCACAUAAUCGCAAGGUAAGCGCAGCUUGUGAUCAUUAUUAUACAUUUUAACAACUCUCUGUAUCACUAAAAUUUGAUCCCCAUUUUGGUUUGUUUUCAAGCUGGUUGAGAAACAGGCUCAAGAAGAGGAGGAUUGCCAGAGCAGGAAGACAAAUCCAGAAUUGGAUCUCUUCUACGAGAGAAACAAGGAGCAAUCUCUUUGAACCGAGGCAGCCUAAGGAAGAAGAAGAAGAAGAAGAAGAAGCUAGAGUGCGUGCAUCCCCAUGCGGUCUUUGUGUUAAAGAGUUUUACUAAAUAAUGGACUACUUAUUUAUUAUUAUUAUUAUGCUGAAUACUUUGUUCUUCUACCACUCAAAAUAUUUCCAAGUCUGGUUUGUUUUUCUUUUUCUUCAUUUUAAUUAUUACAUGACAAGAUAUAGACUUCUUUCAAGUGUCCUUAUUGCCCGACCGAUAUAAGACUCGACAAGGUGCAAGCAGUUAUACUUCUGACUGGAAGAUUGGAACUGAAAGUUCUGAUCGGUGUUGGAAUGUAUUGCUGCUGUGUUCUGUUUCGUCGAAGGUUUUCAUGUACAAAAAUCAUCAGGGAAGUUUUUGAUAAUUCGAACAUCUCCCCAUAAAAACGCGUUUGUGUUUGUUCCAACUUUCUAAAUAUAGAAAUUCUUUUACAUUUCCAAAAUUAGCUUACAAUAGUCUUUGCAUCAUCACUGUUCAGUUUGUAACUUUUCCUCUUGGCUUUAGGCGUUUCAAAUUUUCAUUUACCAAAUCCAAAAAGAAGUAGUCGAUUUGGUACGAAUGAGCAUAGUAGCUCAAUGUAUGUCACUAACGGAUCAGCUCCAAUACUUAAUAUCAAAUAAUCUGAUAAUUGAUCCAAUUUGCUGGCUAACCGGGUUAAGAUGAUAGAAACCAGAAACCAAACAAAGCAACCAAGAACUACAUCCAAAAAUCUGAAUCGAGUAUCAGAGAUUUAAAGAAUAAUCUCUCCAAGAGACGUUUUAAAAUACACACAAAACUGUGAGGGAUCAUGAAUCCAUGCCGACUUAUUGUUGGGUAAUAUUUGGAUAUUAGGGAUACCGCCAACGCAGAUGAUGAAUGUGGUAAUGGGUUCUACAAACAAUUCACCAAGAAAGCUAUCAACAACUUCGACGAUUUCCACGUUGCUGUUUUAGACAUCUUCAGGUAAGAAUCACUCGAUGUUUCCAUUUUAUCAUUCUUUCUUUAGAAAAACACAACCAUAUUUUGAUGUGUAGCAACUUCAACUCGGCUUUACCAGGCCGACACUUUGAUUUCCCCACCCCAGACGAAAUAAAGGCAAGAAGACAUUUUAAUUCCCCACUUAAACGACGGAAAAUUAUUAUAACUAUUUCCAAAAUUAUUAUAACUAUUUCUCUAACACAAUGUUGAUUAAGUUAGGCUUGUUUCACGAGGUGGAAGGAAGCGAAAGACGAAGAAGAGAAGAAGAAAGUGUUCACAGAGUUCAUUGCAAAGAAAGUGAAGCCAAGUAAACUCGAUGAUGUCACUAUGAUCACCGGAAUAACAUCUCCUCCGGCGGCUAUGGCGGCUAAGAGAGCAGGAGAGAAUGUUCCUCAGCUAAAAUUCAUCAAACUCAUACCUGAUGUUAUAUUCGUCCCUACGGUCACCAUUUUGGCCAUUGUAUCUGCCAAACUCUCGAGAAGAAUGUAUUUGAAAUAAACGCUUUUAACUUAAAAACAUUCUUUAUUAUUCUCCUAUUUAUCUUCCUAAAGGUUGAAGCAAUGCUCCAAAGUUGAUUUAUAACACCAUCAUGUAGUUUGAAUAUAGCAUUAAAACGCUGCAAUGCUAUAUAAUAUCUCUGUACUUAAGGGGUGCCUACAGUCAACACACUUUAAUUAUUAAACCCAAGAUCUUCUUGAAGUUUCCCAAACAAUUUUAGGAUCCUCUUCUUGAUCCACCAGAGCCUGACCUUCGUUUCCCUCGCUUUCUCUGCCUGUUAGGACGCUUAUUAGGCCUAGAAGGCAUGGAAGCAUUUGACUUUGGCUUCUCCUUUGAAACUCUACGUCUCUUUGUCUUAUUAGUCUUUUCCUUUACCUCCACGUCAAGAUUGCGUGGCUUUCUGUUCCUUACCUGCAUAUUGAGUUUAUCGAAGAAAAGGACAUAAAGAGGAAUGAAGUAACUAUGUAGUAGAAAAGUAACUCAUAAACAUAAAUAAAGCUACCUAAUCAAUAACAAAGAGGAAUGAAUCCAUUAUGAUAUAUAAAAAGGAUUCAUUCCCAAGCACGAUCAAGGAGGAGCUUACCUCACGAAGAAAGGUAGAGAAGCAGGAUCGUGUUACAAAAAAAAAAGGUAGAGAAGCAGGAUCAGUACUAGUACACAUGAUAGAGUCAGCUUCUUGACCAUUAGAAGCUGUUUGUUCAGUUUCAUCAUGUACAAGAGAAACAGUUCCACUAAAGGGGGAGCUAGAAGAGCAGAAGACAUCAUUGGUGUCAUCAUCAUCAUUGCAUUCUUCCGAGACUUCAAUCUCAAUCUUGUCAUCAACACUAGAGCAUUCCUAUAUAUCAACAACAACCUCUUCAUCAUCAUCUACACCACCACAACGAUCCUUCUUGAUUAUCGUCGUCAUCAUCAUCAUUCAUCUCUACCAUAUAACCAAACGGUGGUUCAAGGUUUUUUCUUAUCUUCCCAAAUCACAAGUAGGGUCCACUUUAGUCCAGGUCUUUGACUUUUUCUGUUUUAUCUUUUUGACAAUUAAUUGUUGUUGUGUAUUAUAUCGUACACAACACUUAUACAAGAUAUUUGUCCUAAAAUAAUAUGUUUGGAUUCUGUCAGAAUAUUAUAUUCCCUUUCUCAAACUAGGGCACGUGAAAAAUCUCUUUCGCAAAUUUGCUGACCCCAUAGUUUAAUUCUUUCUUUCAAUCCAAAGUCCAAACCACCGCCUCGCGCUGUAAAGGAUGAGUGCUCUGAACCGAACCUUGAGCUCAUCAAUCUCGUUGAAACUCAACACCCCUUUCCCAAUUUUCGCGUUACCAAAUUCGAAACCAAGCGAGAUUCGAUUCUCCAACAGAUGGGGGCAGCGAAAAGUCGA
rnacentral:lncRNA from 1 species